UGGUUCUGGCAUCGAUGAAGAACGCAGCGAAAUGCGAUAAGUAGUGUGAAUUGCAGAAUUCAGUGAAUCAUCGAAUCUUUGAACGCACAUUGCGCCCUUUGGUAUUCCUUAGGGCAUGCCUGUUCGAGCGUCAUCUAAGCACUCAAGCGCUGCUUGGUGUUGGGCGCCUUGUCCCGCCUCGUGCGUGGACUCGCCCCAAAAGCAUUGGCAGCCUGUGUAUUGGCUUCGAGCGCAGCAGACUCGCGCCUCGCAAGCCCACGGCACGGGCGUCCAUCAAGACACACCCCAAAGUUUGACCUCGGAUCAGGUAGGGAUACCCGCUGA
rnacentral:misc_RNA from 1 species